rnacentral:rRNA from 1 species
CACCUCCAGCAUUCCCAGUAUUGGAGGCACUGCCUGCCCGGUGACAUUAGUUAAACGGCCGCGGUAUUCUGACCGUGCAAAGGUAGCAUAAUCAUUUGUUCUCUAAAUAAGGACUUGUAUGAAAGGCCACACGAGGGUUUAACUGUCUCUUACUUCCAAUCAGUGAAAUUGACCUUCCCGUGAAGAGGCGGGAAUAAAACAAUAAGACGAGAAGACCCUAUGGAGCUUUAAUUAACUAGCUCAAAAGAAUCUAUCUACCAGACCGACAGGAACAACAUACUCCUUCCAUGAGCUAACAAUUUAGGUUGGGGCGACCUCGGAGCAUAAAACAACCUCCGAGUGAUAUUAAUCUAGACGUACCAGUCAAAAUGCUCACUUACUUAUUGAUCCAAAAACCUCUUUGAUCAACGGAACAAGUUACCCUAGGGAUAACAGCGCAAUCCUAUUUAAGAGUCCAUAUCGACAAUAGGGUUUACGACCUCGAUGUUGGAUCAGGACAUCCUAAUGGUGCAGCAGCUAUUAAGGGUUCGUUUGUUCAACGAUUAAAGUCCU